AUGACGGAUAUUUUAAUGAGUAGUGGCUCUUCAGCUACCGUUUGGUUCGGGGUUAAGGAAAAACUAGUUAUUUCAGGGAUAGGGUUAAGUUCAGGGUUAAGAUGGGGUUAGAGUAUUUUUGUGUUUGGUUAGGGAUUGGAGUUAGUCCAGGAUAGUAAAAAAUAGUGUUUGGUUGGAGUAGGUGGGAUAAGAAGGAUAGUGGGUUAUUAUGAAUAGAAAAUAGUGUUUGGUUGGGGUUUGGUGGGGUUAGGUGGGGUUAGCUAACCCGGGAUAGCCCAUUUGAGGUGGGGUUAGCUAACCCCACCCAUUUUUUGGGGUGUUUGGGGAUAAUAUGAGGGUCAAGGGGUUAUUCCACCCCUUAACCCCCAACCAAACAAAGGCUCAAGGUUCUGUUGAAGUCUAUUCUAAUAAGCACAUUGUCGAAAGAAAAAUAUUUUUGAGAACCAGCAAUAAUGCACGCAAAUAGGAUAACAGCCUCGGCAGUUCUUACUUUUUAGUGGCUUUACUUGAUUUACCCUUAUUUUUUUGUUGUGUUUUCAUCCCAUCAUAAUUACAUUACUGAUUUACUUUGUUACAUGUGGUAGGAAUUGCACAGAAAACGGUUACAGAUAAAAGAAAAAGGCAAGAGAAAAGAAAAACCUAAGGAUAAAGGAAAACCUAAUGGUACCUCCUUUACUAUUUUCUUCUUUUGCUCCCUUUGCAACCAUAAGCUGUUCAAUCAUGUAAUUUCUCUCUUUAGGGACUGCAAAAACGAGUAUGAGAGUAAGAAAUAAUCUUGACAUUAAAGAUACAGCAGAUGUUUCUACAGCCAGUGCUAUGAAAGAUUCCGAGUACUCCAACUCGAAGGAAGAGGCUGGUUCGGUAAGAGUCAUUAUGUGUUUCUUUCUCUUUUCAGAUGGUCUCGCAUCUUAAAGUACUUCGUUCAUAAUCAUUUUUAUCAAAGUUUCUGUAAAACGAAACAUUCCAUGUUUAUACUUCUAGUGUAGAUGAUCUCAAAUUAUUUUGAUUCCUCAACGAAAUCCGUUUCUAAACAUACUAAUGGUUUUUCCUCAUGACAUCAGGACGAAGCAACACUUACGCCAUCAAAGAGGAAAAGGAAAUUACAUUGGGGGUAUUAUUUCUUUGUUGUGUGCCCUUUAUGCUUUUUGCAAUGGCAAUAUCUGUAGUAGAAUAUGUAGGUUGAUGAAAAUCAAUCACCUUUGCAAGUUUUCUUUUUAUAUAUAACACAAUGGCCGGUUUGGAUGUUUGAACAAUCUAUAGGGGGCUAAUUAAUUUUGUCUAGGAGUUUCCUUUGGUAAUUAUAUCAUUAAAACUUGAGUACUGUCCGUUGUAAGGCCCUAAUAAUCAGUUUUGAGGAUACAUAUACCGCCUAUGCGGUGAUUUAUCAUAUUCUUAAAAUUUGGGAUCAUAUUUUCCCACUUAACGCACUUUUAGAUGUCUUUCUAUCAGUUCUCAAAAAAAUAAAUAAGAGUAAAUUGAUCCUUGAGUAAGCAAUUGGUAAUGUGCUUGAUUAAGUUAUUCUGUCAUCUAGAUGGAUGCAUGAAUAAUACCAUUCAUGAUCUUUGCUGCUGGUUGACUGUACGGAGUUUGAAGUACCACUGGUUUCCAGCAUAGAUUAGGAUUUUGCUGUCGGCUCCACCGAGCGGCAAGCGAGAAUGGACGCAGCAGUCAGUUGUUUAUGAGAGUGUUCAAUAGACCUAUUGUCCAGACAUUUGAGCCACUGUCCGAUGUCUUGUGUUUAUGGAGCAGGGAUUACGACGGAAAUCUAAAGCCAAAAAGAAAUUUUGGCAACAAAAGUAGCGUAGAAAGUUACAACACCCCUAAAGUCUAGGGUUGUAAAGCAUAAAUACGCCAAAAAGACUAAACUACCAGAUUCAAACAUAUUUGGAUGGACUUUGUGAGAUAAAUUUUUUGCUUAUACGAAUCCCAUACUUGUAGGUAUUUAAUAUUUUUGACAUAUACGAAGGAGGCCAAAGAAGAAACUACCAGCUCAGUAUAGUGAAGUAUAAUUGUGCUGAAGAAGUAACUACCAGAUUCAAACAUAGUUAGAUGGACUCAGCAAAAUGAAUUAUUUUCUUAUGCGAAAUGCAUUUUGCGAAGUAUUUAAUGUAAUUGACGUAUGGGAAGGAGGCUGAAUCUGUCUGCGGACGGGGUUUGUCAUCUUCGACUGUUUUACUAAGAACAUCAACUGCCGGAAUGCUUAUUAUUCGGUGUUGUUUUUCUCUAAUUAUUUGAAUACUUUUUUUUUUUUUUAAUUGGUGAAUACCACGUGCGCACAUUCUUUUAGUCCUUGGGAGAUUUAGACUCUCCCCUACUUUUGUUCAUUAGAAAAUAAUCUUUUUCUUCAUGCUAUUUGUACCAGAAUAUCGUAUCCUGUCUCCUGAUUGUUUGUAAAUUUUUUUUAAUUGGUGAAUACUUAGAUACCUUUUUCCUUUUAUUUCCAGGCUUGAUGCGAAGGAAAGAUGGGAAAGGAAAUCAAACAUGUAGAUUGCGAACGACAAACUUGGAGCCGUCCAGUUGUCGGUUUGCUUCAAACUAUCAGAGCUGUUUCACAAUGAGAAGAGAUCUUUCGAGGUCUAUCGUUUCGAUAUCUGCGAUCAGGCGUCGCCUUAUUCAGAAGGUAUUUAUCACUUGUUAGGAUUGUGAAGCGUAAUGAAAAAGAGCGGCGCCAUUUGUACAUCCUGGAGAGAAAAAUGAACUGCCAAAAUUGAUGUAUGACAAAUUAAAAGAAGAUGUCUGUUUUUUUUUUUUUUUUUUUUUUUUUUUUUUUUUUUUUUUUAUAAAAGAAUUUAUUUUUUGGUUCCCUCAUCUUCUCCAUUUUGUUUGGGUGGGGGUGUACAUCGCUCUAGGGCUUGCCUUUGAUUAGUUUUUUAUAUGACACCAUCCAUUUCAUAUUUUUUCAAUUCAAUGGUUCAAUUUUUUUUCUCAAAAAAUAGACUCGAGAUCUAGGCUGAAAUGCCGAUCUCUCAUGUUAUAGAAUCCUUUUUUUAUAUUUGGACCUCAGUUUACUCGAGGGGUCUUAAAAGUGACAAUUUUAAUAGUCUAUAAUCUAUAUAGGAUGUUUUUUCAUUCAAUAGUAUAGAAGUUUUCAAAUCAAAUUGAAUAUUUGGUACAUAAUUUUUUUUUAACUAAUACGGAAUGGAAUCUAUAACUCCAAUCUUAGAUUUUUUUAUUCUAUUUUUAGAAGGUUGUUCAAUUUCGUUCCUUCUUUUUUGACGAGUUGAUGAUCUAGAAAGUAAUUUUUGAAAAUUAUAAAAUUUGAUUUUCAAAAAUAUUAAAACACACUAGGUUAUGUUAAAUUGUGUAGAUCGUCGAAUCAGAUGCUCCGUUGUUAAAAAUGAGUCUAUAGUAAGCAGGCAUGGUGCUAUUAAUAGCAGCAACGUAGUUCAACUCUUAUUAGACUUGGUGGGAUUGGGGGUCAAAGGCUGAGGGUUGAUGAAUACCUUGUUGUACAUGAUUUGUGCGUGCAUACAAUGUGUCCAAUAAUUUUAGGAAAAUACUACACAUACGUCUAUAUAUAGGUGUAAAUCUUACGCUUUCUGAAUUCUAGAUUCACAUAAAUCUAAAUCAUUCUCAGUAGAAAAAAAAAAAAAAUUUAAAACCGAAAAAAUUGAUAAGACAAGAGGGAGAAUAUAUUUAUAGCAUGUUUGGUUCGCCACUUUUUCAUCCUGAAAUCGAAAUCGGAACGGACGAAUCCAUUUGUCCAUAUUUAGUACGCGGGAUUUCCAUUCCUAUUCGGAUUUUCGGGUGAAUAGGAAUCCUCCCAAUUAUUCUUUUUUCCAAUCGGGUCUAGGACGCUGGAUUGAAAAUUGAAUCUGAACGGAAUGGAUUUGUUCGGAUUAAAUUUAACUUUUUUAAGCUCAUUUUUUAAUUAAAACAUAAGUUUAAGUUUAAAAAUAUUUAUAAAUUUUAAAAUUUUAAUUUGGACUUGAAUUAAAAAUUAAAAUUCAAUCAAGCAUUUCAAAUUUAAUUUAUAAAUUUGAAUUUAAUUUAAAUUUAAUUUAAAAUCUAAAGUUUUAUUCAAAUUUUAUUUAAAUUUAAAUUAAAUUUAUGGAUUCAAAUUGAAAUUUAAAUUAAAAUUUUAAGUUUGAAUUUAAAUAAACUGAAAUUUAGUUUUAUAUUUUGAAUUAUUCGUUGAAUUUCAAAUUUAAUUUUUUAAAAAAAUAUAUUUAAAAUUUUGAUAUCAUUUUAAAAUUUUGACCUAAAUUUUUAAUAUUUAAUUUUCAGUUUGAAUCUAAACUAAUAUAUUAUAAUAAUAAAAUUGGUAUAUUAAUUUGAUUACCUUUCUUAUAUCUAUUUGGAUCAAACACUAAUAAUGGAAUGAUCCAUUCUGAUUUCGAUUCAGGUGGUGUAUCAAACAAAACGAGGUAAUGAAUCAUUCCGCUUAAUAAUUGCAAUUGUUUAAAUGUAUAAAGCCCAAUUUGAUAGUUCGGUACCAAAACUAAACUUGGUUAAGGGCUAUUUGGUUUCUCAGAAAAGUAUAAAUAGAAAAUUACGAAAAUUUUUUUAUGUAAAAUUCCUUUUCAGGUUUCCUUCCGUUUUAAGGAAAGGUACUUUUCAUAGAUGAAUUUUUUUUUUGUAAAAUAAUAAUUUUUUUUGAACCAAACAAAUGAAAAAACUAGAAAAGAAAAUUAUAAAAUUUUUUUUCUCGAAAAUCUCGUAAGUUUCCGAGCAACCUAACCACCCAAAAAGUUUGGGGUUGAGAGAUGCGGCAGGCACAAGAGCCAUCAUGCUAAGUGCCCCAUAUUUCGUCGGGUGCAAAAUUUUCUUUCGAAUUUGGGAUAUUGGGUACCAAUCACUAAGUGCUUUGCCACUUGCGGUAGAGAUGGUCGGUGGGAGCAAAUUUUUCAUCUUCAUUUCAUUUACAAAUUUCUCCGCCCGCACUCUCGUUAACUCAAUUAUAUAGCGAUGGAACUGGACUUGUGCCUAAACAAGGCCCGACCAGAUGAGCCAUGUAUGGGCUAGGUUUGAGCUCAGAAUUAUAACUUUGGAUCUGGUCUGGUCUCAGAAUUAUAACUUUGGAUCUGGUCCAGUCUUAAAAAGUUAGGCUAAAAAAUGUUUUGGGCCUAUUUGGGCAUGUCCAAGUCCGGCCAAGAUCCAACCUAACAGCUCGAUACAUUAGUUAUCAAAAUAAGAUAUUUAGUUAUAUAUAUAAAAUAUAUUUAUCCAUAUAAGAAUAAACGUUAUAAUAAUAUAUCUAGUAUAUAGCAUUAUUAAGGUUAUAUAUUAAUAUACAUGAGAAUGUGUUAUAAAGAACUAGGCUAGAAUACUAUUAAUAGCACCAAGUUAUUGGUACUAUUAGUUUUCAAGCCCUUAAAUUGAGAAAUAUACGGUUAGGAUAAUGUGGGCCUCCUAGGGUUGAGUGAGUAGUUAGUUGAAUAGUAUAAUCUAACGGAUAAAAAUAAUUAAAAGGUUAAAUCUAACGGUGGAAAACUCGAUAGCACCAAAUCCUUGGUGCUAUCAAUAGUAUCCAGCCGGACUCAUGUUAUAUAUAUAUAUAUAUAUAUAUAUAUAUAUAUAUAUAUAUAUAUAUAUAUAUAUAUAUAGAGUUGAGCUAGAAUACUCUCGAUAGUAAACGGGGCGUUUUACUAUCGAGUUGUUUUCGAUGAUAGAGCUUCCAAAUUGACGUAAUCGCUCGUUAAAUAUGAUCUAACUAUUUAAACUACCUAGAAAUCAAAUUUCACGCACUUUCGAUAUUGUUCUUUUACUCAUAUAGUGAAAAAAAUGAAGGCUGAAAAUGAAUAUUCUUUUAAAAAUGAUGAUAGGAGUCUUGUAAUCAAGAUCAAGAGUAUAGAUUUUGUUUUAAAUAGUUUAAAGAAUUUCUAACAAAAAUUCAAUUGAUUUGGAUAUUUUUACACCGUUAAACAGGAAAACGUCUCUUAUCCACCAUUAAAUUACAAAUUUUGAAACCUUUGAUCAUUAGGCAAAUGAUGUCGAAAAGAUUUGAAAUUAAUUUCUAAAUACAUUCAAGUGGUAUAGAUCAUGUUCAACGGAGCCGAUGUCAAUUUGGAAGCUCUAUCAUCGAAAACAACUCGAUAGUAAAACGCCCGUUUACUAUCGAGAGUAUUCUAGCCACUCUAUUAUAUAUAUAUAUAUAUAUAUAUAUAUAUAUAUAUAUAUAUAUAUAUAUAUAUAUAUCUAUAUAUAUAUAAAAGCACGUAUAUUCAAAUUUGGUAUGUCGACAGACCCAUUUUUCGGCGGAGAAAAUUAGGCCCUUUUUUCUCUUCCCGUACGAAAAUUUUAAUAUAAGAAUAAAAAUAGAAACAGCAAUGAAUAUUAGUUCUCUAUAACAGAUUACUGAUGUAAAAAUCUAAAAUAUAAAUUUUUCUAUUUAAUUUCAAAAGUAAGUUUUCUAUAACAGAUUAUUAUAGAUAUUUUCCUAUAUUUUAUUUUAAAAUAUCUUUUUUUAGAUGUAUCUAUUUAAUAUCAAAAUAUAUUUCUUUUUAGAGUAACGGAUUAUUUUUUUUAUUUAAUUUCAAAAUUUAUUUCCUAACAGAUUUAUUUUUCUAUUUAAUUUCAAAAGUAAUUUUUGCAUUAAAGAUUAUUGUUAAUUAUUUAUCAUUUAAAGCAUAUCUUUUCUUAAUAGGGUGAUUUAUUAUUUUAAAUUUUUAGAUACAUAUUUGGCAAUCAUAUAAAAUAUGGCCUAAAAUUAAAAAUAAUUAAAAAAUUUAUAAUUUUUCUAAUAAUUAUUACGUGUAUUUGCACGUACAUUUUACUAGUCUAUAAUAUAUAUAAAAGCACGUAUAUUCAAAUUUGGUCUGUCAACAGACCCAUUUUUCGGCUAAAAAUUAGCGCCCAUUUUUCUCUUUCCGUACGAAAUUUUAAAUAUAAGAAUAAAAUAGAAAUAGCAAUGAUAACGUAAGUUCUCAUUAACAGAUUACUGAUGUGAAAAUCCUAAAAUAUAAUUUUUUCUAUUUAAUUUCAAAAGUAAGUUCUCUUAACAGAUUACAGGUGUGAAAAUCAUAUAAAGAUAUUUUUCUAUUUUAUUUUAAAAUAUCUUUUUUAGAUAUUAUCUAUUUAAUUUCAAAAUAUAUUUUCUUUUUAAGAUAACGGAUUUUAUUUUUCUAUUUAAUUUCAAAAAUUUAUUUCCUAACAGAUUUUAUUUUUCUAUUUAAUUUCAAAAGUAAUUUUUGCAUUAAAGAUUAUUGUUAAUUAUUUAUCAUUUAAAGCAUAUCUUUCUUAAUAGCGUGAUUUAUUAUUUUAAAUUUUUUAGAUACAUAUUUGGCAAUCAUAUAAAAUAUGGCCUAAAAUUAAAAAAUAAUUUUAAAAAAUUAUAACUUUUUCUAAUAAUUAUUACGUGUAUUUGCACGUACAUUUUACUAGUAUAUAUAUAUAUAUAUAAAACUAAAUAUUUAGUUCUAGAAUAUAUUAUAAAUAGUAUUAUUAUAUACAAUUUUACAUAUAAAUAAAUAUAUAUAGUGUAAAAAUAUAUAUAUGUACUAUAUGACAAAUGCAUAAAGCGGGCCUCUACAAAUCCUGAUGGGCAUUGGGCAUCGGGCUUGGGGCCCAACCCAAGCCCGACCUAGUUCCACAAUUUAAAUAACUAUUAUUAGUCUAAAUUACAGAAAAAUUCCUAUCAAAAUCUGAUUUUUUACUUUUCCUUUUUGUCAUUUAAAAAUCUACACUUUGCCUUCCUAAAGAAUAAAAAAUAUUGAUCUCCGCCUCCAAAGCUCCAUUUUUUCUCUUGUGAAGUUAAUGAAACAUAGAUCCAUAUCCUCAAUGUUCGUCACCACGCACCUACCUCCACCGAGCUCUCCUGCGUUUCACACUUCGGAGUCUGGGUGACGUCCAGAGGUAGCGUGACAGGAUCCGGUGUUAUCAUGUGGUGAAAAUUGGUCGGGUCGUAAGUCAAGGUCCAAAGAAUGGGAUGCACGUGAUCUAAAUCGCUUGGACGGUGAACUUUGUGUUCGAAAAAAAUGCGUUUGGUUCGGGCUUUCCUAGUACUUCCAUAGGAGAUGUAUACAACACGCCCGAAGAUUAGAGUACCACUCGUCCACUAAGAAAAGAGAGAUCCAAUCAGUAAAAUGUACGUGCAUAUUACUUGAUAGAAUUUUCAAAGGUGAUGCAAAUCACACACGUGUUAGUUUUCCCAACCUGAGCCAUAUCAGGCAAAAAUAUAGGUGUCUGUGAAUUAGGUCGCAUUUGAAUAGUUAAUAUACUAUACUCGUACUCUAAAAAAAAAAGGAUAGAAUAUAUAUAUAUAGAGUUGGACUGGGCUACUAUUAGUAGCAAAAUUCCAUUGUUGCUACCAGUUUUUUAGCCUUUGGAUAAACUCUUUUCAUCAUUUCUAAUCAUUGGAUUAAAUACUAUAACCCAGUGGGGACCACUCAACCCUAGGGGGACCACUUAACUCUAACGGGCUAAUAUCAUCCUAACCAUAUAUAUAUAUAUAUAUAUAUAUAUAUAUAUAUAUACAUAUAUAUAUAUAUAUAUAUAUAUAUAUAUAUAUAUAUAUAUAGUCCGUCUCCGGUACUUUCGAAAGUACGGAGACCUCCGUGCUUAUAAGUUGUUUUCGAUGAUAGGAAGUCCGAUUCGACGAUCAGCUCCGUUAAGUAUAAUUUACCCUAUUGGGACUAUCUAGAAACCAAAUUUUAUAAUUUUUUGACAUCAUUUACUAAGCGAUCAAAAGGUCUAAAAAAUGAUUAUUUUAACGGCCGAUGUGGCACAUUUUUAAGUUCAACGGUGUAGAAGUAUCCAAAUUACAUGAAAGUUUAAUAGAAAAUUCUACUUAACAUUAGUAGCAAGAUCAAUACUUCCGAUUUAAAAUUUGAAUCCUUUAUCACUAUUUUUUUUGAGAUUUUCAUUUCAGCCAUUCAUUUUGAGGCUACUCGUUCACUAGACAAACGAAAUCAAAAAAUUAUGAAAUUUGGUUUCUAGAUAGUUCCAAUAGCGUAGAUCAAGUUUAACGGAACCGAUCGCCGAAUCGGAUGUCCCAUCAUCGAAAACAACUUACAAGCACGGAGUCCUCCGUACUUUCGAAAGCAUAGGAGCCUAGCUCUCUCUCUCUCUAUCUCUCUCUCUCUCUCUCUCUCUCUCUCUCUCUAUAUAUAUAUAUAUAUAUAUAUAUAUAGGAGCGAGACUACUGUGUUAUUAGGAGCACAGUAACCCUUGUACUCCUAACUUUUUAACCAUCCAUUAAUUUUGAUGGGUCGUUAGGAUGAGAGAGAGAAGAUAAAUUGGAAAGAAAUCGGAUGAUUAGAAAGUUAGGAGCACAAAGGUUGCUGUGCUUCUAAUAACAAAGUAGUCCUGCUCCUAUAUAUUAGAAGCACAACAGCCCUGCUUUUAUAUAAAAAUAUAUAUAUAGAGUUGAGUUAUAAUACUACCAGUAGCAAACGGACUCCGUUGCCACCCAUUUGUUUUCGAUGAUGGAGCCUCCAAAUCGACGAUCGGCACCAUUGAACAUGGUCUAUAUCACUUGAAGUAUUUAGAAACCAAAUUUCAAAUCUUUUCGACAUUAUUAACCUAAUGAUUAAAGGGUUUUAAAAUUUAUAAUUUUAAUGGUUGAUAUGAGGCAUUUUCUUGUUUAACGGUGUAAAGAUAUCCAAAUCAUUUGAAUUUUGGUUAGAAAAUUCUUUAAACUAUUUAGAACAAGAUCUAUACUCUCAAUCUUGAUUAUAAGAUUCCUAUCAUUAUUUUUUAAAGAAUAUUCAUUUUCAGCUGUUCAUUUUGUGUCCAUUUGAUGGACAAGAGAACAAUAUCGGAAAAGUAUGAAAUUUGAUUUCUAGAUGCUUCAAGUGGUAUAGAUCAUGUUCAACAGUGCCGAUCGUCGAUUCGAAGGCUCCAUCAUUGAAAACAAAUUGGUGGCAGCGGAGCCCGUGCCAAUCGUCGAUUCGAAGGCUCCAUCAUCGAAAACAAAUUGGUGGCAACGGAGCCCGUUUGCUACUGAUAGCAUUCCAGCUCAACUCUAUAUAUAUAUAUAGAGUUGAGCUGGAAUGCUAUCAGUAGCAAACGGGCUCCGUUGCCACCAAUUUGUUUUCGANUAUAUAUAUAUAUAUAUAUAAUUGAGUUAGAAUGCUAUCGAUAGCAAACGGACUCCAUUGCCACCUAUUUUGUUUUCGAUGAUGGAGCCUCCAAAUCGACGAUUGGCGCCGUUGAACAUGAUCUAUACCAUUUGAAGCAUUUAGAAAUCAAAUUUCAAAUCUUUUCGAUAUCAUUGACCUAAUAAUCAAAGGAUUUCAAAAUUUAUAAUUUUAAUGGUAGAUAUGAGGUGUUUUCACGUUUAACAGUGUAAAGCUAUCCAGCUCAAUUGAAUUUUGGUUAGAAAAUUCUUUAAACUAUUUAGAACAAGAUCUAUACUCUUGAUCAUGAUUAUAAAUUUCCUAUCAUUAUUUUUUAGAGGAUAUUCAUUUUUAGCCGUUCAUUUUUACACCUACUUGAUGGACAAGAGAACAAUAUCGAAAAAGCAUGAAAUUUGAUUUCUAGAUACUUCAAGUGGUAUAGAUUAUGUUCAACAGUGUCAAUCAUCGAUUUGGAGGCUCCAUCAUCGAAAACAAAUGAGUGGCAACGGAGCCUGUUUGCUACCGAUAGUAUUCCAGCUCAACUCUCUCUCUCUCUCUCUCUCUCUCAUAUAUAUAUAUAGAGUGCGACUACUAUACUAUCGGAAGCACGAAGCCUUCUGUGCUUCCAGCUCGUUUUCGAUGUUGCGACUUUCGAAUCGUCGAUCGCCUCUGUUAAACUUGAUCUAGAGUAUUUGAAACUUCUAGAAAAUAAAUUUCAUAAAUUUUCGAAAUCAUAAUAAAGUCCAUCAAGUGGGCAUAAAAUGAACGGUCAAAAUCGAAGGACGUCCUAAAAAAAGAUGAUCGGAUCCUUCAAUUCAAGAUUGGAGUUAUUGAUCUUUAUCUAUGUAACUUCUAGAAAAUAAAUUUCGUAAAUUUUCGAAAUCAUAAUAAAGUCCAUCAAGUGGGCAUAAAAUGAACGGUCAAAAUUGAAUGACGUCCUAAAAAAAGAUGAUCGGAUCCUUCAAUUCAAGAUCGGAGUUAUUGAUCUUUAUCUAUGUAGUGAAUAGAAUUUUCUAUCAAAAAUUCAACAAAUUCCGAUUCUUUUAUACUGUAAUAUACUGAAAUUUUCGGGUUAUAAUACUAACUUUGAUUUGGGUGAUCAAAGAGAAGUUUGAGUUGGAUGUGCAUUAUUCCCGAAUAAUUUUGGAUGCGUAGGAAUGACUUAUGGAGGUAUUUGAGUGUUUCGGUGCGAAUCGGGCGCGAAAUGAAAUUGAAAGGGAAGUUCCAAAAGCAAGGCUAACUUUGAUCAGCUUGAUCAAAUUAAAGCUAAAAUAUAAAUUAGUUGGUCCCCGAGUUAAAUUAGUCGUGUGGGGGUAGUUAAUUACAAGUUUUAGAAGUGUUUAGAGAUGUUGGAACGAAGUUGAUGCGAGAACGGGGCUUGGUAGUAAUGCUGCCAAGUGCAGAUUUUGCACCAAAAAGCUGCAGGGACCUAUUUGUAAAAGCAGAAUUCUUGCUUUGUAGAGGGUUUAAGUGCAAUUGCUGAAUGUUGCUGCUGCUGCUACUACUGAAUGCUGCAGCUACUGCUGCUACUGCUGCUGCUGCCAGGUGCUGUUAGUGCAGGGACUGUUUUGUAAACUGUAGGGACUGCUUUGUGAAAACUGCAGUUUCCGCAGUUUGGAGGGGUUAAGUUGCAAAGUUUUGAUCUUAUCUAUAUCGCUAGCUUAUCCACCAGCUAACCCUCAGCAGGGACCUCCUCAUCUUUUUCUUUUUCUUUCGUUUCUUUUUCUUUCUCUCUUUCUAACCUAGGGUGUGGAGCUUGGUGAAGGGAAGUUGAUGGAAAAGCAGAUUUGAGCUGAAAUGAAGGCUUUUGAGCAGGAAAUUGGUUGUUGGAAAGGAAAACCAUGGUAAGGUUGAUGUCAAUUCUGGUUUGGGGUUAGAUUAAUUGCUUUAGAAGGGAACUAAGCUGUGAAUUUGGGUUGCUAAUGCUGAAAUUAUUAUGAAAGUUUAGAGAUUAUACUAUGUUGACAGCAUACAUGAGAAUUAGUGAAACUUGGUGAGAAGUUAUGUUAAUUACUGGUUAAGAGUGAUAUUAUUUACACUGUAGAAAGGAUUUAGUUGAAGUUCUUAGUUUCUAAAGCUUGUAGUUGUCAUAGAGAACCUAGAAACCAUGCUAUUUAAUCCUAAAAACUGUAUUAUUGUAGCACACUAGACCUUUGCAAAUUAUGAAGUUCGAGUGUUUGAUAUGGAUCUCGAACUUUUCCACACUUGGUGGAAGGUCGUUGAUGGUAUUUCGACCUAAAAGUUCGAUUCCUGAAGUUUUGACAUUGUCCUGAGAGUUUUCACUCUCGGGGACCGGUCUCUGAUGGUAGAGACCGGUCCCCUCAGCACAGUGUCGUGGCCAGCUUGAGGCAACUGGUCCCUAGCUGUAAGAGACCGGUUCCUGAACGCGUGUUUUGCGAGAAGGGUCCGAGAGACCGGUCCCUGGUAGGGAGAGACCGGUUCCCGAACGUUGGUUCUGCGGGGCAGGCUGAGAGACCGGUCCCAGGUGUCGGGGAGACCGGUCCCUCAGCACGAAAACUGCCCAGACCGGGCAGUGCACAGGGUGACUUUUUGAGGGGCUUAUAUGGAUUUUGUUACUUUUAAGGGCCUUAAGGCCAUUUCCUCUCCCUCUCACCCUCAUUUCACUCCCUCACACUCACUCUAGAGAGAGAAAGAGAAGGAGAAGGAGAAGAAGGAGAGGAGAGGAGCUUACUUGGAGGUCUUGGAGCAUUAUCUUCUUCCUCAUUUCUCACCUUUGGUGGUUUGGAGCUUGCGGUUGGAGCCUUGUGGAGGAUCAAACUCUAACCCUACUUGAUUUAGAGCUUCGAUUGGAGCUUCUCUUGAGGUUGGUAACUUGUAUUUCCCAUUUAAUACAAGUUUUUCUAGAUUUUACUAGAUGAAACCCUAGAUUUUGGGAUUUAGGGUUUAUUUUGGGGAUUUUUGAUUUGAGGACUUUGAGACCUAAUUAAUAGGUUUAGAACCUUUAUUUAGGUUGGAUUUGAAGAACUCUAACUCCCAUUUGGAGCUUGAGAGAGGAUUUCUUCACCUAGGUGAGUUUUUCUCCACCUUAGCCUAUGUUGCUUAUUGAUUGAGCUUAGGGUUGAUCGUAAGGGCUAUUGGACACCUUCGUCGGACCUUACGAAGGGUUUCGUUAACCUUUGGUGGGUUUGGCUUCAUUGAAAUGGGAGGAAAUGCCUCCUAUGUGGUUAAAUGUUUUCGUAUACUCUAAAUACAUGCAUAUUCAUGUUCGAUGAAAUUUAUACGAAAUUUAGAAUGCUUAAAACCCCUAUGUUAUGCAUCAUGAAAAAUUGACUCUAUGUUGUAGAGAGAAGAAUAUGUAUUGUUAGUAUGCAUGAGUUUAAUGUUCUAAUGAAUAAUGUAAGAUCAUGUUUCUUGUGCGGAAAAUGAUUAGAAUG
rnacentral:lncRNA from 1 species